GUGGGGAAUUGUUCGCAAUGGGCGCAAGCCUGACGACGCAACGCCGCGUGGAGGAUGAAGACCUUCGGGUCGUAAACUCCUUUCGAUCGAGACGAAUGGCCUCCGGGUGAACAAUCCGGAGGAGUGACGGUACCGAGAGAAGAAGCCCCGGCUAACUCCGUGCCAGCAGCCGCGGUAAUACGGGGGGGGCAAGCGUUGUUCGGAAUUACUGGGCGUAAAGGGCUCGUAGGCGGCCGACUAAGUCAGACGUGAAAUCCCUCGGCUUAACCGAGGAACUGCGUCUGAUACUGGACGGCUUGAGUUCGGGAGAGGGAUGUGGAAUUCCAGGUGUAGCGGUGAAAUGCGUAGAUAUCUGGAGGAACACCGGUGGCGAAGGCGGCAUCCUGGACCGACACUGACGCUGAGGAGCGAAAGCCAGGGGAGCAAACGGGAUUAGAUACCCGGGUAGUCC
rnacentral:rRNA from 1 species